UUUCUGACGGCCCACAGAGGGUUCACCCCCGUCGAAAGGCAAUUCAUAAAGCUGCUACAUGAUUGUAACAUCGGUCCAUCAAGAAUGGUACAAAUACUAUCUCUCAUCCACAGCAAAAAGGGGAAACUGAGCAGCAUGCCGUACAUACCAGCUGACGUCACAAACCUACAGGCCAAGUACUGCAGAGAGAGCAAGUUGGCAGACAUAGAGGCCACAAUUGCCUACUUCGAUGAGAAAGCGAAGGAAGAUCCAGAUUUCUUCUACAGGAUAAGGUUGGACGAUGAGGACCGUGUUAGGAACAUGUAUUGGGUGGAUGGUGCUGCAAGGAGAGCCUACAAACAUUUCCGAGAUUGCAUUUCAUUCGACGCGACGUACCUCACCAAUAUGUACAAGAUGCCAUGCGCUCCGUUCAUAGGAAUAAAUAACCAUAGCACGGAUGGGUACGUUUGGCUGUUCAAGACCUUCUUGGAGUGCAUGGAUGGACUUGCUCCGAUGAACAUAAUAACAGACCAAGAUUUCAGCAUGCGUGCAGGCAUAGAGGAGGUCUUUCCGUUGGCAGUGCACAGGCACUACAGGUGGCACAUUAUAAAGAAGGAUGAGGAGACGCUAGGACCGUUCUUUACUACUACGCAGCGCAGCGAGGGGUUCACUGCUGUUUUGAAGCGAUGGGAUGGCAUUGUGUGCUGUCACAUACUAAAAGUAAUGGACAUGAAUGCUGUGACACGGAUGCCCCGCCAUUUCAUAAGGCGGCGAUGGACUUGGGACGCUGACGAUGCAUUGGCGCCACAGACAACACACGUAGUUCUGGCUGUGCAUGACGAGAGACCUGAGUCAACCAUGGAAGCCGUGAGGCACGUUGUGCUGACAAAGAACUAUGCUGAGCUAAUUGAUGAAGCGUGCAAGAGUGAUGAGACAGCAAGAGUCGCAGAAAAACACAGGAAGGCACUAAAAAGAGAGCUUGAUGAGAUCAAGAAGAGGAAAGCUGAGGAAGCCUUACACCGGUUCCCACGCACAUCAAGUGUGCCUUCAUCCACGGGGCCAUCGUCUGAAAACUCGGAGAUAGGAUCUGGAACAGCAAGCACAUAG
rnacentral:rRNA from 1 species